rnacentral:rRNA from 1 species
AUGGGUGUGCAGGCUAUGAUGGAUGUCCGGUGCAUGAACCUUGUCAACCCUGUAUGCAACUGGCUUGGUGAGAUCUACGACCCCGCCUCCAGGGAAUUCAUGAUUCCGGGACGUGGAAGACUACAGUUGAACGAGGAAUCUGUGUUCUGCACUUUGGAUGUGCCUCGUGGACAUAUCAAAGUCCCGUACGAGGUCAAUAAUGAGAUCGAGGAAGCGUUGUUCCCCCGUUUGUUUCCUGGGUUGGAAUCCAUGCCGAACACGUCUGCAAUGGCAGAUUCGCUGCAGGCCAUGACAACGCAUGGAGAUGUUUUCAAGAUGAAGCUACUCAUGUACCUCAUCUCAGUUGUUUUCGCGCCGACCACUUCUCUUCGCCCAAGCAACAAAUGCUUUCCCAUCCUGGCGGAUCUGAAAAAUGUGAAGAACAUGAAUUUGUGUAAGUUUAUUGCCGACUUCCUGCACGAUGCAUUCUCAAACAAGAUGUACCAAAAGGGUUGUCGACUGCAUUUAAUGCUCAUGUACGUCGACUGUCUUGAUCUGUCCACCAUGGCUUUCAUUGGGACUGGAGGCCCGCCGCCUACACACAAGUUUGUUGUUUCUGCGUGGACUAUCAAUGCUGUCAAGGUUGUGCUUGCCGCAGACAAGGCUACUGACACCACAUAUGGAAAACUGCAGCUGAUGGCCAAGCACGCUAUAGACUACAGCGUGUUUGGGGGGCCUCAAAACUUUGGAAAGUGGAUGGACGUGCACUCAGCUCCGUCUUGCCUUGCCGAGGCAAGGGCACCUGUUGAGCAUCUAAUAGGGCAGUUUGCAUCCGGAAUGACCGGCUUUCUCGGGAAGUUGGUUGAGGGGUGGACGUCCCUCAGUGGCUCUGACAGUGACGUGGUUGCGAGGCAGUUCACUUCAUUUGUCCCAGAAUGUACACAUCGGCCAACCAGUUGCCGUGGCCGGUAUGACUACAACAGUUCCCAAGAGCCUGCUGACACACAAGAUGAACUAGGUGGAGAUGCUGGUCUUAGCAAGGAUGACGACGAUGACAUGGAGAAUGUGCAACAGGACACCGAUGAUGAUGAACAUGCUGAAGUUUGCGCAAGUGGUAACAAGGGCAAGGAUGCAACAGAUGUCCCCCAACCGAAGAAAGUC